rnacentral:rRNA from 1 species
GAUGAACGCUGACAGAAUGCUUAACACAUGCAAGUCAACUUUGCCUGACGGGCGAGUAACGCGUAAAGAACUUGCCUCACGGAAAGGGACAACAUUCGGACACGUAUGCUAAUACCUGAAACUGUGAGAGUGGUUUGGGUCCCAUUAGCUCGUUGGGGAGGUAACGGCUCGGCUAGGCUAUGAUGUGUAGCCGGCCUGUGAGGGUGAACGGCCAAAAGGGGAAUGAGACACGGCCCUUAGUCCUACGGGGGGAAGCAGGGGGGAAUAUUGGAGAAGGGCCCAAAGUUUGAGCCGGCAUUUCUGUGUGAAAGAUGAGGUUUUCGGAAUGAAGAGUGCUUUAAGUGGAGAAGCGGUACCAACAGAAGAAGUGACGGCUAAAUACGUGCCAGCAGCCGCGGUAAUAC